rnacentral:rRNA from 1 species
AUUGAACGCUGGCGGCAGGCUUAACACAUGCAAGUCGAGCGGAGAUGAGGUGCUUGCACCUUAUCUUAGCGGCGGACGGGUGAGUAAUGCUUAGGAAUCUGCCUAUUAGUGGGGGACAACAUUCCGAAAGGAAUGCUAAUACCGCAUACGUCCUACGGGAGAAAGCAGGGGAUCUUCGGACCUUGCGCUAAUAGAUGAGCCUAAGUCGGAUUAGCUAGUUGGUGGGGUAAAGGCCUACCAAGGCGACGAUCUGUAGCGGGUCUGAGAGGAUGAUCCGCCACACUGGGACUGAGACACGGCCCAGACUCCUACGGGAGGCAGCAGUGGGGAAUAUUGGACAAUGGGCGGAAGCCUGAUCCAGCCAUGCCGCGUGUGUGAAGAAGGCCUUUUGGUUGUAAAGCACUUUAAGCGAGGAGGAGGCUACCUAGAUUAAUACUCUGGGAUAGUGGACGUUACUCGCAGAAUAAGCACCGGCUAACUCUGUGCCAGCCGCCGCGGUAACAC